rnacentral:sRNA from 25 species
GUCAGUAACCCAGCCCUCUGGGCUUGCAAGAGUAAUCAAGCAAGCCGUACUGACCAGACCACCCUGAGUUUACUCUCAUGGUAGCCGUUAUUUGAGUCACGACACCCCGGAAUGCGAAGCUAGUUCCCUGCUCUGUC